GAUAAAUCGGGGCCAGUGUAGCGGGUAAGAAGAAGGGGGCAAAAGGUGCUCGGAAUUAUUGGGCGUAAAGCGCACGCAGGCGGCGUAGCAAGUCCCAGGUGAAAGCCCACGGAUUAACCGUGGAAGGGCAUGGGAAACUGCUGGUGUUGAGUACUUAAGAGGAUCGCGGAAUUCCCGGUGUAGAGGUGAAAUUCGUAGAUAUCAGGAGGAACACCAGUGGCGAAGGCGGCGAUCUGGGAAGAUACUGACGCUGAGGUGCGAAAGCGUGGGGAGCAAACAGGAUUAGAUACCCCGGUAGUC
rnacentral:rRNA from 1 species